rnacentral:rRNA from 1 species
AGAGUUUGAUCCUGGCUCAGGAUGAACGCUAGCUACAGGCUUAACACAUGCAAGUCGAGGGGAAACGACAUCGAAAGCUCGCUUUUGAUGGGCGUCGACCGGCGCACGGGUGAGUAACGCGUAUCCAACCUGCCCACCACUUGGGGAUAACCUUGCGAAAGUAAGACUAAUACCCAAUGACGUCUCUAGAAGACAUCUGAAAGAGAUUAAAGAUUUAUCGGUGAUGGAUGGGGAUGCGUCUGAUUAGCUUGUUGGCGGGGUAACGCCGCAAGGCUACGAUCAGUAGGGGUUCUGAGAGGAGGUCCCCACAUUGGAACUGAGACACGGUCCAACUCCGUACGGGAGGCA